rnacentral:rRNA from 1 species
UACGGUAGGUCGCAAGCGUUGUCCGGAUUUACUGGGCGUAAAGAGCGCGCAGGCGGCUGGUCAAGUCCGAUGUGAAAUCUCCCGGCUCAACUGGGAAACUGCAUCGGAAACUGAUCGGCUUGAAGGUGGGAGAGGGUAGUGGAAUUCCCGGUGUAGUGGUGAAAUGCGUAGAUAUCGGGAGGAACACCAGGUGGCGAAGGCGGCAUCCUGGACCGACACUGACGCUGAGGAGCGGAAAGCCAGGGGAGCAAACGGG